rnacentral:rRNA from 1 species
GAUGAACGCUAGCGACAGGCUUAACACAUGCAAGUCGAGGGGCAGCGGGGGCGUAGCAAUACGCCUGCCGGCGACCGGCGCACGGGUGAGUAACACGUAUGCAACCUGCCCGUCACAGGGGGAUAAGCGGAAGAAAUUCCGUCUAAUACCGCGUAGCACCUGCGGAGGGCAUCCUCUGCAGGUUAAAGAAUUUCGGUGACGGAUGGGCAUGCGGCGCAUUAGCUAGUUGGCGGGGUAACGGCCCACCAAGGCGACGAUGCGUAGGGGUUCUGAGAGGAAGGACCCCCACACUGGUACUGAGACACGGACCAGACUCCUACGGGAGGCAGCAGUGAGGAAUAUUGGUCAAUGGGCGCGAGCCUGAACCAGCCAAGUCGCGUGAUGGAAGACGGCCCUACGGGUUGUAAACCUCUUUUGUCGGGGAGCAAAUGCGCCACGUGUGGCGCUGCGAGAGUACCCGAAGAAAAAGCAUCGGCUAACUCCGUGCCAGCCGCCGCAGUAA